CUAAGCUGCAGUGAAAAACAUGUCCCAGUUCAUCGGUGAACAGGGAGUAGAAUAUGGACAGUAUUGAAUAAUGCCAGAUACUAAAGGAAGAAAACGUGCGAGAAACCCUCUUGUUUAUACAGGAUAGUAACAUUUUCUUAGCCCCAUCUUCGUAUGGUGCCGUACACCUGAAAUGAAACUAGAUAUGUCUUUAAUUUGAAGUCAACGAUUAUGUUACAAAAUAGAAAAUCGAGUCGCUUAAAAAUCAAAUGCCAAGGUCACACAGCAGGUGGAGAGGUUAAAAGAUUAAGAGUUUCUCUAACCACGGCUACCCUCUAAAAGUCACAUUUUCCCCCUUUUUCCAGUCACUCUCUGAAAGAGAACAAAGUAAUUUUCUGAAGGGAAGCUGCAGAAUAUGGAAAACAUAUAUUGGAGCUACAUGGAUGUUUACUAUGUGAAACAAAGAUGUACAUCACUGUAUACUGCAAAAGGCAUGCAGUCUAAUGUUGGAUAAUCUAGAAAAAGUUCUCUGGCUAAAGCCUUUUCCAUAUCCAGAUCCAAAUGAGUUUGAUCUCCCUGUGAUACAGGGGUUGGAGGCAGAAAGAGAGGAGGCUGGGAAAACAAAAACAAGAACAAAACCAAGCCAAACAAAAAAUCAAUGACUGGCUCUGACUUUAGAUAGAUCUGGUUUGAAUCUCAGCUCCAAUAUAUAAUAACAGGUGUAGCCCUAACUACUAGCAGAGGCAAGAGAAUAGAGCUAUGCCACUUCUUCCAUCAGUAAGGGAGCACUCAAUGUAAACUCCCUAGGAAAGAGCUGCUAACAAAAGUCUUUGUGUUUCAAUUAAACCAAGGAAAGUGAA
rnacentral:lncRNA from 1 species